rnacentral:rRNA from 1 species
GGAAUUCGAUUAACGCGAAGACCCUUACCCAGGCUUGAACUGCAGAGGACACUCUACGAAAGUAGACUUCCGCAAGGACCUCUGUAGAGGUGCUGCAUGGCUGUCGUCAGCUCGUGUCGUGAGAUGUUGGGUUAAGUCCCGCAACGAGCGCAACCCUUGUCUUCUGUUGCCAUCAGGUUAAGCUGGGCACUCUGAAGAGACUGCCGGUGACAAACCGGAGGAAGGUGGGGAUGACGUCAAGUCAGCAUGGCCUUUAUGUCUGGGGCCACACACGUGCUACAAUGGCAGGUACAAACCGUCGCGAGACCGCAAGGUGGAGCUAAUCGGAUAAAGCCUGUCUCAGUUCGGAUUGUCGGCUGCAACUCGCCGGCAUGAAGUUGGAAUCGCUAGUAAUCGCGGAUCAGCACGCCGCGGUGAAUACGUUCCCGGGCCUUGUCACACCGAAUCACUA